CCUACGGGUGGCAGCAGUGGGGAAUAUUGCACAAUGGGGGAAACCCUGAUGCAGCAACGCCGCGUGGAUGAAGGAGCGUUUCGGCGCGUAAAGCCCUGUCAGCGGGGAAGAAGAAAGACGGUACCCGACCAAGAAGCCCCGGCUAACUACGUGCCAGCAGCCCCGGUAAGACGUAGGGGGCGAGCGUUAUCCGGAAGUACUGGGGGUAAAGGGAGCGUAGACGUCGAGGUAGGCCUGAAGUGGAAGCCCGCGGCCCACGCGCGGAACUGCUUGGGGAACUGUUUUGCUUGAGUAUGGGAGGGGUAAGCGGAAAUCCUGGUGUAGCGGUGAAAUGCGUAGAGAUCAGGAGGAACACCGGUGGCGAAGGCGGCUUACUGGACCAUAACUGACGUUGAGGCUCGAAAGCGUGGGGAGCGAACAGGAUUAGAUACCCCAGUAGUC
rnacentral:rRNA from 1 species